CAGUGGCUAAGACUGGAUAGGAAGAUAAAAGGCAUCUUUUAUCUUUUAAAAGACCUAGUAAUAGGUAUGCUUUAGGAGGGGCUUGCGCCAUAUUAGUUAGUUGGUAGGGUAAUGGCCUACCAAGACGAUGAUGUGUAGCUGGACUGAGAGGUUGAACAGCCACAUUGGGACUGAGACACGGCCCAAACUCCUACGGGAGGCAGCAGUAGGGAAUUUUCGGCAAUGGAGGAAACUCUGACCGAGCAACGCCGCGUGAAUGACGAAGUACUUCGGUAUGUAAAGUUCUUUUAUCAAGGAAGAAAAGCAAAUGGCGAACCAUUUGUUUGCCGGUACUUGAUGAAUAAGCCCCGGCUAAUUAUGUGCCAGCAGCCGCGGUAAGACAUAAGGGGCAAGUGUUAUCCGGAAUUAUUGGGCGUAAAGGGUGCGUAGGCGGUCUAGUAAGUCAGUGGUGUAAUGGCAACGCUUAACGUUGUCCGGCUAUUGAAACUGCUAAACUUGAGUUAGAUAGAGGCGAGUGGAAUUCCAUGUGUAGCGGUAAAAUGCGUAAAUAUAUGGAGGAACACCAGAGGCGUAGGCGGCUCGCUGGGUCUUAACUGACGUUGAGGCACGAAAGCGUGGGGAGCAAACAGGAUUAGAUACCCUGGUAGUCCACGCCGUAAACGAUGAGUACUAAGUGUCGGGUUAAACCGGUACUGAAGUUAACACAUUAAGUACUCCGCCUGAGUAGUACGUACGCAAGUAUGAAACUUAAAGGAAUUGACGGGACUCCGCACAAGCGGUGGAUCAUGUUGUUUAAUUCGAAGAUACCCGAAAAACCUUACCAGGUCUUGACAUGUUUUUGCAAAAUGAUAGUAAUAUCGUGGAGGUUACCAGAAACACAGGUGGUGCAUGGUUGUCGUCAGCUCGUGUCGUGAGAUGUUAGGUUAAGUCCUAAAACGAGCGAAACCCUUAUCGUUAGUUGCCAGCACGUUAUGGUGGGGACUUUAACGAGACUGCCAAUGAUAAAUUGGAGGAAGGUGAGGAUCACGUCAAAUCAGCAUGCCCCUUAUGACCUGGGCUACAAACGUGAUACAAUGGCUGUUACAAAGGGUAGCUGAAACGCAAGUUCUUGGCCAAUCCCCAAAAACAGUCCCAGUCCGGAUUGAAGUCUGCAACUCGACUUCAUGAAGUUGGAAUCGCUAGUAAUCGCGAAUCAGCAUGUCGCGGUGAAUACGUUCUCGGGGUUUGUACACACCGCCCGU
rnacentral:rRNA from 1 species